UAAACACUGCACAUGAAGGCCACACAUGAAGUAGAUCAAGAGUGUGUCAUUACAACCUUUGACAUGGGGCUUUGACUGAAGGCAAACCCUCUGAUCUGAACAAGAAAGCUGUGCACAUAAUUCAAAAUGUAGUCGAUU